GGUCGAUUAGCUCAGUUGGUUAGAGCGUGGUGCUAAUAUCCUAUGUUAACACCAAGGUCGCGGGUUCGACCCCCGUAUUGACCA